UAACGUUAGUCCACACAAAUAAUCCAAUCAUCAAAAUUGUCAAAACUGUUUAGAUAAUUUAAUAAUAGAUUAUAGAGAUAUAGAUUGAGAUUGUGAUUUACUUAAGAUUUUUAUCAGUUUAAUUAGUUUUUCUCCCUACAUUACUGAUCAUUACAACAGUUUAUUUGCAAAUGCUUAUGCAACUUCAUGCACUUGGCGUGCAACCCUAGUGCAGGAGGACACUAAAUUCGCAAGAGUACGUUCAGACAAUGCCCUUAUCACUCAGUGGUGCCUUAUUUAUAACUGCAUAUGUUUGGCUUCAAAGCAUUCAGCUGUUAUGUAUCCUCAUCCCGAUGUUUAGUAACGACUGCUGUUUUAACACAAUGCUGGCUUUGGGAGGGCAUAGCUCAGAAACGGGGGUCUUUCCGAGUACAGGCUAACUCUUAAAUAGCAUUCGGGCACCAGUGGUGUUGUUUACAGCUUCAGAUAACAUACACACGUGGAGCUUUCAGACACGAUACAGUCAGGAAACUUGUGUUCUGGAAAAACAGAGGGUGAGGGGGUACCAUGAGGAAGUGUUAGCGGGACUAGCUCCAGUUCAGACAGAGAAGAGAGAUUUCUAUUUUUAGGGAGACUGGAAUGUACACUGAGGCCUCUCGAAGGAUUUCUGAACAACAAAUUACAUACCGCGGUCGUCCCAGUCUCUAUAAACAUCCACCUGCCAAACUCAGAAAGUGAACAACUUUCAGAAGUGAACAGAUUUUGAAAACAGAGGGACGAGUUUGAGUUUUGGUCGAGGUUUGAUGAUACAAAGAUAUUUACAGGAGCAUCUAGAAUGUGCUUCAAAUCAGCUGAGACAAGCUUAGAUGAGCCAACAUCAGAAGUCUUGCAUUUUAAAGACAAAAUCCUGACUUCCACUCUUCUCCUGGAGCUGAAUAGCUUAAGGAAGGACUGAAUUCUCACACAUGUUGUGCUUUUCUCUCAGGGCAGAGAUCCCAUGUCACCGCAGUAUUCUGGUAUCCAGCAGCCCUGGAGACCCAGAAGCCCCAGAUAAACCUCCAAGGUGUUUCUUUAUGACAUCCUUACAAGAGUGGUGGAGUAUGUUUACACUGGGUCCAUCAGCAUCACAGUGGAGCUGGUCCUAACUGAUGCAGGCCACCUCUAGGCUUCAGUACGGAAGACUUUUUGAGGCCUGCUCCUCAGAAAUGCCUGAGUGUGAUCCGGCUCUCAGAAAUCAUGCACUGCUCAAGCUUGAGGGAAAAGCAAUGCACAUAAAUUAUCAAAUCUGUUUUGUCAUCUUCUCUUUUCUGUUAGCAGUCAUUGCCCUGCCGAUCUUGAGCUCCAUGGCGACAAAACUGCAAUGAGGCUCUUGUAAUAGUAGGUCGUAUGGUGAGCAGACGUUUCGUGAGGCGCUAUACUCUAUGAUGAGCAAAUGCACUGCUGGCAGUGGCUUGCAUCUCUACCUACAUGCUUAUGUCUGCAUUCACAGCAAUCUUUAUGUUCAUGGGUGGCUUAACCAUGAGAGCAGGAGGCCAGUGCACACCUAGCAACACUGUUUACAUGCUUUCCUCUCAAAACAAACCAAUGGAGAGUGGGCAAACCCAUACUGAUGCCUCGACCCAUCAGAGCUCCACCUACCUUCAUUUCAUUGUUGUACUGGGUGGAUUGAUGGCUGACAGACAGCUGUCCAAUGAAGUAGAGCAAUACAACACCAUGUUCAAUCAAUCAUGCCCACCGCAGUCAUAGGUGUCAAUAGGAACACUUCCAUUCAAGCUAAUUGAACAUUGGCUCAUCUGGUCUAUCUCUCUAAUAAGUUUCUGCCUACAUGAAUGUAUUUAUGUGACAAUGUAACUUAAUGUCUGUUUAUUUCUAACCUGUAUUUGACAGAUCCUACUGAGAAGAAUAUUGAGUAAAAAUACAAAGCUUAUUAAGUUAGCAAAGUAAUAGGUCUUCAAAAGUCUCUAAACGUGUUUGCACAUGUUGGUUUUUGAAUGUAUGUGAAAUAUUAGUAAAAUAACUAAUAAUAACUAUUAAAAUAGCUAAAAUAGAAAAUAAAUAAAAAAUAAAAAACAUUUAAAAUCGAUCUUAAAUCAUAUAGCAGAUACAAGUAUGAUAUUUUGUAACUUGAUUUUGAAAUAUCUUAUAAAUCACCUGAUCUAAUAAAUAAAAAUAAAAAAAUGUAAAAAAAAACAUUUUGUUAUUGUUGCAUAUUGUAAGUUUAUAUGAGUACUUUAAUGUAAAUACAUUCAUUUUUUAAACAGAUUUGUUUAUUCAUGUUUUUCCCCAAGUAUGUAGUGGUUAUAUCCUGUUGAAAAUGAGUUUAAUUGUACAGUGAUGUUUAUUAUGAAUUGCUUCAUAAACUUUUAUAAUGCACACUGUACAAAAACACACUGUAAUAAACUGCUCAGUCUUGUGUAUAUCCA